rnacentral:rRNA from 1 species
AGAGGGGAACAACCCAGACUACCAGCUAAGGUCCCUAAAUCUUAUUUGAGUGGAAAACGAUGUGAAGUUACUUUAACAACCAGGAGGUUGGCUUAGAAGCAGCCAUCCUUUAAAGAAAGCGUAAUAGCUCACUGGUCUAGUGAUUUUGCGCGGAAAAUAUAACGGGGCUAAAAUAAGUACCGAAGCUGUAGACCCAAGCCUAGCUUGGGUGGUAGGAGAGCGUUCUAUAGGCGUUGAAGAUGUACCGGUAAGGAGCGUUGGAGCGUAUAGAAGUGAGCAUGCAGGCAUGAGUAGCGAUAAUUAAUGUGAGAAUCAUUAACGCCGUAAACCCAAGGUUUCCUACGCGAUGCUCGUCAUCGUAGGGUUAGUCGGGUCCUAAGCAAAGUCCGAAAGGGGUAUGCGAUGGAAAAUUGGUUAAUAUUCCAAUACCAACAUUAUUGUGCGAUGGAAGGACGCUUAGGGCUAAGCAAGCUAGCGGAUGGAAGUGCUAGUCUAAGGUAGUAGGUUGUUAUACAGGCAAAUCCGUAUAACAUUAGACCGAGAACUGAAAGGCUUUCUGAAGUCUUCGGAUGGAAGGAAGAAUUGCUGAUGCCGUCGAGCCAAGAAAAGUUUCUAAGUUUAGAUAAUGUUGCCCGUACCGUAAACCGACACAGGUGGGUGGGAUGAGUAUUCUAAGGCGCGUGGAAGAACUCUCUUUAAGGAACUCUGCAAAAUAGCACCGUAUCUUCGGUAUAAGGUGUGGUUAGCCUUGUAUUAGGAUUUACUCCGAAAGCAAGGAAACUUACAACAAAGAGUCCCUCCCGACUGUUUACCAAAAACACAGCACUCUGCUAACACGUAAGUGGAUGUAUAGGGUGUGACGCCUGCCCGGUGCUCGAAGGUUAAUUGAUGGGGUCAGCAGCAAUGCGAAGCUCUUGAUCGAAGCCCGAGUAAACGGCGGCCGUAACUAUAACGGUCCUAAGGUAGCGAAAUUCCUUGUCGGUUAAAUACCGACCUGCAUGAAUGGCGUAACGAGAUGGGAGCUGUCUCAAAGAGGGAUCCAGUGAAAUUGUAGUGGAGGUGAAAAUUCCUCCUACCCGCGGCAAGACGGAAAGACCCCGUGGACCUUUACUACAGCUUGACACUGCUACUUGGAUAAGAAUGUGCAGGAUAGGUGGGAGGCUUUGAGUUAUAGACGCCAGUUUAUAAUGAGCCAUCGUUGAGAUACCACUCUUUCUUAUUCGGGUAGCUAACUAGCGUGAGUUAUCCUCACGUAGGACAAUGUCUGGUGGGUAGUUUGACUGGGGCGGUCGCCUCCCAAAAAAUAACGGAGGCUUACAAAGGUUGGUUCAAAACGGUUGGAAAUCGUUUGUAGAGUAUAAAGGCAUAAACCAGCUUAACUGCAAGACAAACA